GCCUUGAGUGACAGAAUAAGCAGCAGCACCAUGGAUAUUCAAACCCCAAAACCAAGCAGGUGGACUGCUCAAGGAACCUAUGCCAGCCUGGCUACAGUAGUGUUAUGUGCCUACACUCCAGCAGUAUCAACCAUGUGCUCCAUGGCAACAAGGCAAGGUCACACAGAUUUUCCUAGACUGCUCCCUAGAACUGAAAGACGCCUGUCAUUUGGCAAGCCUUCCACACACUACUCAGGUCAUAGCUGUGACAAUUUGACCAGAAGACACUAAACUAAAAAGCUUGUAAUGAACAAGGAAAUCUGAUGUCUUAAGGCUGAUUUUGUACUUAACAAGACAUACCCCACUGAAAUUAGGAGCAAGGACUGGAUUUCUUAAUGCCAUUUCCAGGUUUAGGAACCUACGAUUUGGUAAUUGUACACAAAUCACCACUGUACAACUUAGGCACCUCAAUGGACAGGUAGCAUGGAAUACUCAAAAUGCCAACAAAUGGAACAUUUCUAUCAAAGAAAAGAAGUAAAAGAAACUGUUGAAAUGCAAGCAAGCAUUGUUGUGUCAGAGAAAGUUUUGCAUCAACUGCAAGUACUGCACAGAAACCAGUAACAAAAGUUCUGCUGUUUCAUGGAGAGUGCAAAUGUUUUGACACAGCAGAGUAAAAGCUGCUCCACUGAACCAGUAUGUACUGAACUGGUACUCUGAAAAGUCCAUGGAAGCACAGUACCUGGAUUACAGUGAGACAGACAUCAGGCAGUGUAAAGCUGCACAACCAACAGUCCUGACAGAAGUGCCAGACAUCAAGAGGAACAUCGUGAGGUAAAAGCAGUAGCUUGGAGUACAAAGAGCAAAACAACACGGUCUUUCUGAUCGCAGUAAAAAAUACUGUCAUAGGAAUUACACACACAGGAGAGAAUGAAAAAAAUAGAAAACACAAAAUCCAAAACUAGA